rnacentral:rRNA from 1 species
CAGGAUGAACGCUGGCGGUAUGCGUAACACAUGCAAGUCGAACGAAGUUUUUCGGAACUUAGUGGCGGACGGGUGAGUAACGCGUGAGAAUCUGCCUUAAGGAUUGGGACAACAGUGGGAAACCGCUGCUAAUACCAAAUAUGCCUUUUAGUGAAACGGGUAAAACCGCCUUAAGAUGAGCUCGCGUCUGAUUAGCUAGUUGGUGUGGUAAGAGCGCACCAAGGCAACGAUCAGUAGCUGGUCUGAGAGGACGACCAGCCACACUGGGACUGAGACACGGCCCAGACUCCUACGGGAGGCAGCAGUGAGGAAUUUUCCGCAAUGGGCGAAAGCCUGACGGAGCAAUACCGCGUGAGGGAGGAAGGUUCUUGGAUUGUAAACCUCUUUUGUCGGAGAAGAAUAAUGACGGUAUCUGAGGAAUAAGCAUCGGCUAACUCCGUGCCAGCAGCCGCGGUAAUACGGAGGAUGCAAGCGUUAUCCGGAAUGAUUGGGCGUAAAGGGUCUGUAGGUGGUUGUUCAAGUCUGCUGUUAAAGCGUUUGGCUUAACCAGAUAAAGGCGGUGGAAACUGAACGACUAGAGUGCGGUAGGGGUAGAGGG